rnacentral:rRNA from 1 species
GAGUUUGAUCCUGGCUCAGGAUGAACGCUAGCUACAGGCUUAACACAUGCAAGUCGAGGGGAAACGACAUCGAAAGCUUGCUUUUGAUGGGCGUCGACCGGCGCACGGGUGAGUAACGCGUAUCCAACCUGCCCACCACUUGGGGAUAACCUUGCGAAAGUAAGACUAAUACCCAAUGAUAUCUCUAGAAGACAUCUGAAAGAGAUUAAAGAUUUAUCGGUGAUGGAUGGGGAUGCGUCUGAUUAGCUUGUUGGCGGGGUAACGGCCCACCAAGGCAACGAUCAGUAGGGGUUCUGAGAGGAAGGUCCCCCACAUUGGAACUGAGACACGGUCCAAACUCCUACGGGAGGCAGCAGUGAGGAAUAUUGGUCAAUGGACGAGAGUCUGAACCAGCCAAGUAGCGUGCAGGAUGACGGCCCUAUGGGUUGUAAACUGCUUUUAUAAGGGAAUAAAGUGAGUCUCGUGAGACUUUUUGCAUGUACCUUAUGAAUAAGGACCGGCUAAUUCCGUGCCAGCAGCCGCGGUAAUACGGAAGGUCCGGGCGUUAUCCGGAUUUAUUGGGUUUAAAGGGAGCGUAGGCCGGAGAUUAAGCGUGUUGUGAAAUGUAGAUGCUCAACAUCUGCACUGCAGCGCGAACUGGUUUCCUUGAGUACGCACAAAGUGGGCGGAAUUCGUGGUGUAGCGGUGAAAUGCUUAGAUAUCACGAAGAACUCCGAUUGCGAAGGCAGCUCACUGGAGCGCAACUGACGCUGAAGCUCGAAAGUGCGGGUAUCGAACAGGAUUAGAUACCCUGGUAGUCCGCACGGUAAACGAUGGAUGCCCGCUGUUGGUCUGAAUAGGUCAGCGGCCAAGCGAAAGCAUUAAGCAUCCCACCUGGGGAGUACGCCGGCAACGGUGAAA